GCAGGUGUAGCUCAAUUGGUAGAGUAUCUGGGUGCCAUCCAGAAAAUGUGGGUUCGAGUCCCGUCACCUGCU
rnacentral:tRNA from 1 species